rnacentral:lncRNA from 1 species
GACCAUUGUCAUGAAUAGCCAAGUUAAGAGAGACAAGCCAAGUGGAGAUCCUAGGAGCUUGAAUCUAAAUAUUUUGUUUGAUUGCUUGUUGCUUGCUAAGUCCAAAGGAAAGGAGCAUCUUGAAUCAUCUUUAUAAUCUCAAGAGAAGGAACUCCAAGGGUUUUAUCUCUUCUUUUAUCUUUGUAUGCUUUAGGACUAGCC